GCUUGUGCAGUGAUCUCUUGAUGCUUCUGUUUCAGAUUGAAACACUCCAUCGAGACAAAUGCAUUAAGUCACUUGGAAUCCGAGCAUCUGCAGAUACAUUACAAAAUAAUUCUCUUUGUUCAGUGAAGGAAGGCCACAUGAUGCAUUAGCCAGCUUCCAGCUGCUCCUUCCUCACUGAUGACUCAGCCUCUCUGGAUGCCAUUUUGGCCACUCACUAUGCAUCUAAAGAUGUGCUUAAACCCACUGCAUCACUUAGGAAGAGCAAACCAGAGUCACAAGAGAACACAUGUGGCCGCAAAGCAAUGGAAAGAUGGUUAUCUUUCUCCCUGGCAUCGUUUCUUAAACGCAAACAGACUUAAAGGAAGAGGGAAAUCUGC
rnacentral:lncRNA from 1 species